ensembl:processed_transcript
CUCUGGUGACGUCAUUGACAAGGACAUCGUCAUGGACUGGUCAAAGAGCUUCGAGAGAGUGAUGGUUAAUUUUUCGAAAGGAGAAGUCCACUAUUUCAGCUUCAUCAUUCAGCCUGAAAACUGAACUGCAUCAUAAAACUUGUGCUUGAAAAGUGUCAUGGGACCCAUUUUAAGUUCCCAACUUUGGUCUGCAGGACACAAGUAGCUUUGAAGAACAAGGAUCCCAGCUUAAAGAAAAUGUGUCACAUCCGUAAUUGUUUGACAUCAGCUUCAAGCACACCUGGAUACCUUGUUGCAAUGUCUUCAAAACAAAUGUAAAAAUGAAAGGAUUUCAGUGGUGAGCUCAUAAUGAUGGGAUCAAAAGGAAGUGAACUGGACUCUGAGGGACUUAACACAAGGCAAGUUCAUUUUAAUACAUUUUAUGUCAAGAAUAAUUGUGUGAUUUAAAUUCAUAUUUAGACAUUCUACAAAUGCUUUCUUCUUACCUCAGAUUGUGAUGGACCUAGAAUGCGACACUGUUUACGAAUAAGUCAAGAACCAAAUGAAACGCACUAUUUUCCAGAGUACAGAUUAUGGAGGGGUCUGCAAAACUAAUAGAGCAGUUUCUUCUUCUUGGAGUGCCACAGCUUAAAUCCAAAGGUCCUAACAGCUCUCCUGAUUCCGUCAAGGCUUGAAGUGUCAGCAUUACGAUGGCCAACGCUCGCUCACUAUCCUUCUGCUCCCUCAUUUAUCAGAGGCACCACAGUAGAAUGAAUUAGCAAUUACUCUUCACUUUCCAGCCGCAACCCAGCACUGGGAAACACCCAUACACUCUCUCAUACACCUGCACACAUUCACUUACUGUGGCCAAUUCACCAAUACCGUACGCAUGCCUUUGGACUGUGGGGGCAACUGGAGCACCCAGAGGAAACCCACACAAACACUGGGAGAACUUGCAAACUUCACACAGAAACACCAACUGACCCAGUCAGGACUUGAACCAGUGACCUUCUUG